rnacentral:lncRNA from 1 species
GCUGGGGACAAGCUCUGGGCCUGGCCCUUCCGUGUCACACCCCCAGCCCCUUCCCACCACGGGUGGGGGGCCACUCUGGGAAGCCCCUGCCUAGACUGGGGCUUGAUGGGGGGAGUGUCUCAGGGGCAGCCCUUCCCCAGGAUGUUCUGGCCGGAGAGGUGGGUCUUGGAGACACAAAGCCCACCCCUCACCAGCGGGUGAAGGCCCAGCCCCGCCAAAGGGGCUGGAAUUGAUUUCCAAGGGGCUUUUUCUCUCCUUGCUGCUGCUGCUGCGGACACGGUGAUAGAAUGCCCCAGGCCCCGGAAACAGAUCAGCUCAGGGACGGACAACAGGCAGUAAUUUAAAGUCUCUUCACAGCUAUAUCCUAACCCCCGGAGCCGGGCCACCUGCCUGGCGGGACAGGGCUGGUGAGGGGUCUGCCCCCCCCUUUAGGAGAAGGGGCUGAUGGCUCUGUGGGGGGCGGUCCCCCUGCUCGCUGUGGACGGUCCACAGGACGGGCCGUCGCCGCCGGCCCUGGCCUGUAACGAAUCCCCCAGACCAGCUCUUUCCACACGCUUCCUGCAGGGCCGGUCAUCGCGAGACUGGAAUCGCCGAGGCACGUGGGGAUGCACGCACGUACGCACGCACGCGCAGGCAGACCUGCACGCACACGUAUGCACGCCUGUCCCGGCCCCACAGGGACAUGUGGCAGCCAGGCGCGACAGCGGGCGAGCCCAUGUCUUUGCACCUCCUGGUCGCCCGUGUGCAUCGUCAGCACCGAGCAGGCCACCUCGGCUGCCCCGAGGACCCUGCCCGGAGCCUCCUGAGCCCACUCCUGCCUUCGCUGGUGCCGGGGCCCCUGCGCUGCUAUGGUGCGGACGUUCCUUCCAGAACAGGGACCCACACAGAACCCCCCGGAGCCCCUCACCUCGGCAGAACCAACCAGUGCUGAGCAGGCGGCGACUUCUCCAGGAAGACCCUCAGCGGGCAGUGAUGGUGAUCUUGCGUUCUCGGGAGUCACGCGGCCCCUUGUCCGUGCGGGCCGCAGCAGGGCUGGUGGCUUUGCCAGCCGUGGGGGUGACAUAAGUGCACAGGCACGUCCCUCGCUGCACCCCGCGCAUCCAUCGUCCCCAUCGUUCCCCCUUUUGGAGCUGGUGUGAGCAGCUCACUAGGACCUUAGAUGCACCCCAGCCCCACGCAGCCCCGCCCCCUUGGUGGAGUGAAGGUCAAGAGGCCUUGGGGUCAGGAUGCCUGAGUUGGGUCCUUCCUCAGUUCCUGCCCCCACCCAAUGGACGUGGCUUUGGUGAGUUACUUAAUUCUUGGGCCCCCACUUGCUGUCCCCAGGGGGCGACAAGAGCCUGUCCCUAACUGGUGUCCAGGAGGCCAGACCCGUGAGGUGUGAGGUAGAUUGAGUGUCGGGAACCACUUGCUCCCACUCGCUCUGUGGCCCUGCUGACUCGCUUCUUCAGGGACACCCGCCCCCAGGCCCCAGGCCCCCACGUGGUGGGCCGUGCCAUCGCGGGGGGGCGCAGGCCCAGGCCUGGGGAAGGACAAACUGUGUCCGCCUCCGGCCGCAGGGCGGCGAGUUGUGUCGUUUAACCACGGCGGCAGGAAGGGGCAGCGGGGGCCCCUGUGGGCCUGGGCUCGUCCCCCUCCGAGCAGAGUGACUCUUCCCGCGCGCAGGCGGGAGCCCACUCGCGGGGCCGCUCUGAGAGGAGCUGAGGCACCGGUGGGGCCGAACCUAGGGGGAGAGACCCCACCCCCGCCCCGACAGCCCGCCGCAGGCCCCGCCCCCUCCCGAGACAGCCCGCCCCACCCCCCGCAGACCCCGCCCCUCCCGA